CAGAAGACUUUUCUGGGUUUGUUGCCCAAGAGUUUCAGAGCCGGCGUUAAAAAUGGAAAAUGACACGGGGCAGCUGACAUUUACUCAAAACUGCAGACCUUUGCCACAGCAUGAUCUCUGCCUGCCAUCACACUUGAUUAGUCACACGAUCAACAAGCACUUGGAGUGAGAAUGACAGAGACGAGCGGACAGAAAAUGAUCAACGCAGGCAAAACAAAGAAAAUCCUGGGAGGAUGUUGCAGCUAAAUGCAGCAGAAGACACACGGCAAGUGUUCAGAGCAUACCUCCACCCCUCCAAGCUCUGACUGACCUCAUCUGUCAAUCCAUCACCACUGCAAUCAAGAAUGCACUUGGAGAAAAUCUCUGAUGUAAUCCUGCCCCCAUCUGUCACUCCUACUGCACACCUCACCACUGUCUUGCUGUCGUAAAAUACAUGUCCUGCACCACCUUCAGGCUUCAACAACUCUUCCCUGUAUCUUCAUGGUGUGGAUCAUCAGCUUUAUCACUCAGCACCUACUACAGUUCUUCACUUCACUCUUGUUCUAGAAGCUACCAUUUCCGUUGUACACAAAACAGGUUGCAAAUACAAAUUUCCACCACAUCUGAAAUCUGCACAAAACCAGCUCAGAUUUAUACACAUGCAGUCCACUGGGAAAAUCACCAAUUCCAACAGUUCCACUGAAUUUGACUAACUGUAAUCCUUUCAAUGCCAUAAAUGCAGAUGUGACCCAGCACACGUUCCGUGCAGGCAGUUUCACAAAAACCGUAUCUGUAGGAAGCAGAAACAUCCCGUGGAGAACAAAAGAGCUCCUUGGUGGAGGUAAUAAUUAAUUUUGACAGGUGAGUCACUAUAAAAUUACAGGGAAUCAAGAAAAACAUGUUUUUAUACAUCAGUCGAACCAUUCACCCGACACAAAAUUUCAAACGAUGGCGUAAUUGCAUCCCCAAUUCUUAAUUGAAUAAGUGCACCAAGUUUACGGGCUAGUGGUGAUAUUUUGAUUUAUUUUGAUUAAAUUCCUGUCUUUCUGAUUUCACCAUCUUUUCAUUUAAGUCUGUUCAUUUCAUGAAUUUCCAAGUGACAACCACAGUCAUCGUAGAACACUUUACAUUUUAGGCCUUCAAGAUUAUUAUAUAUAUUAUUAUAUAAGAUUCAAGAUUAUAUAAUAAUUGUCACCAGCACUGUUUCAGGCUCAGGACGGGCAGCUAUCUGUCUCACCCAAUGGGAGUUCAUUUCAUUUGAAGGUUUACUUAAUCAGUGAGAUUAAGAGGAGACACAAAUCAAUGCGAGGGUGUGACACAUCAAUUUGUAUUAGAAAGUCAUGGUUUUUGGUAGUCUUUGAUUUUUAAAAAAAAAUGAAGGUAGCUUGAUCAGGAUUAUGUAUAAACUGUGUGCGUGUGUCUUUUAUACUAUAAUCAGGUUUUUACAGUUGUGUUUUCUACAAGUCACAAACACACUCUUUGUCUUAGCACACAAGCCCGCUCUGUGCCCGUGAAUCUCAAACAUCUCCUCCAUCUCACAUAAACUUACUUUCAGAGCUUUCGGAUGCUGCGCCCUCCCUUGAUGCACAGCAACACCCGGCUCCCCCUUUUUUUUAUGACUGAAGGAAUGACAGAUGUGCAAAUCUUUUCCUCUCUCAUCUGUCUUCGGCACAUCACGACUGAACGAGGAGUUGCCAGUGUUGACGUCGGUCAGCGAAGCUCCGUGAAUACUAGAGACACGUUCGCAGCCUUUUAUCAUGUGUUGUUGAAACAGUAAUGUCAGCAGAAACCGUGCCCCAACAUCUAAGAGAAUAUUUGUACUUCAUCUACAUGACUUGCCACAUUUCAGCAUUUGAGACGGAGGGUUGCAUCACUUAACUUCGUCAAAACAGCUCAAAGCCAGGCAUCUUUUGAGUGGCAUAAAGAUGCUGCUGCAAAGCACAGCAGUGACACAAGCUGUGAUAUAAGAUGAGAUGCCUGCUUGAUGCUCAUGAGCUGAGGCUUAGGGAAAGUCUAACUCCUUUACUGGUCCUGGCCAAGUUUUAGAAAAGGCUAAGACUACACCUCUGGCUUCCCUCACCUUUAGGAGGGCGUCAGGCGUGUCUUCAGUUCAUCAUAUCGCACUCCAACACGUUCGUGAGCAUCUCCCAGUGGAGAUCCUUUCUAGGACACACACUCCGUCAGAGAUCAAAAAGAUUGCAAUCAUCGGUCCUGCAGCACGCACAGAGAACACUUUGGUUACAUCUUCUCCCUGGUGAUGAACAAGGAGCAAAAAAACAAGCGGGGCAUUAUUCCAAUUUUAGACCUUCACAUGUUUUUCACAGAACAAGAACCUUUUAUUUCUGUAGUUUAUUUCAUUUGAAAUGCAUUCAUUCAGUGACCAAGUGUUUUUUUGUUUUGUUUUUUGCACUUGUAUUCUUUUGAGAAGCAUAAGACCGUGUAUUCAAGGAUAGGAGAUGCUCAAACAACCAUUUGCCGAAAUGCACAAAGAAUAUGGCCCAUUUAAUUAGAAUUUCUUUCAGUUAUGUUAUUUUUCAUUUAUUUAUGUGAGCAGUUUUAAGUUAUUCAUAUUUCAGCAGUGGAAACGGAAGGUUGAAAGAAUAAAGCCUGCCUCAUUUUAAAAUGCCUGCUAUGCUCGCAAAUGCAAUGCUAUCAGUUAACUAUAGCAGCAUUAACUACUUGGUGUAAUUUUACUCAUUUACGGCUGCACCAGUGAAUGAUUUCAGUGAACGAAGCAAUGGCGAGGAGAGAAACGGAGAGACAAAAACAGAAAUUUAUCACCCAAAUCUGCUGUUCAAACUGUUUUAGCAUCUUUCAGAUGAUUUCUUUCAUUGUUUUGACUUACUCUCAUUUUUUCUUGGUUCACCGUCUCUGCUCACAGCAGUGUUAUUUCCAAGUGUAGCAGGCUAAUGUUUUCAGCCAAAAAGCUGCAAAUACAGAUUGUACGCUAUCUGCACAGCACGAAAACAGCAGACAGAUAAAAUGAGCAGACCUCAGGAGCCAAAAAUAAGGUGGGAAUAUUGGAUAUCUAUUCACAGGUAACAGCAGAUUCUUCAUAACUGUAUUUUCCCUCUUUACAAUCUGUUUUUUGGCCCUAAAGUGAGGGAAAAGUUAAUCUAGGUAUAAAUAUUGUUUCCCCUCUGUUUGGGUAAGAAGAUGAAAAAAUCACAAUUUAUUGUAAAUCAAAAGUUCAGUGACAUGUAGAAUAAUGGUCGCAUAGUGUAAUUAAUUCAUCUAUUUUAGCUAUUGUAUAACACAUCAUAAAUUCUCCCUGAUGAAUAAUGACAAGCCUUCUAUUAGAAAAGCUUAAUUAAUAAGUUUCUGAUUGAUGGAAACGAUCUGUACUCCUAUAAAUCACGAGAAAAAAUGAAACACUGUAAAUUGCACAUUUGACCUUUGAGGAACAGUUAAGUAUUCGUGUUGGUUACAGAUGCUGCACUCGUGCUUCUGCUUAUAUUACAGCCCUGUCGCAGUAUCUUCAUAUCAAAACAGGUUUCUGAAUUAAUAAAAAUAGCUUUAGAGCACAAACAGAGUGGAGCACACGCGGUAAAGUUUAAUAUGGAAGCUUGUUAUCUGUUGUUGUUUACACUCAAAGGCUGAUUCUGAAGAGUUAACUUACAGAGGAUCAGUCUGGCUUGUUAUCUCCCCUCAGUUUUCUGUGAGGAGAAUCCAAAAAGGCCACGUGUGAUAGAGGAUCGGCAACCGCGGGAAACGGCAGGAAAGAUUUAUUGCAGUUUUGUUUUUGCUAGAUGCGUAGAUCACUUUAAUUUGUGUAAGUGUGUGGUCAAACCCCGACAAGCUCUAAGUAUAGGCUUCAGUUCAGGGAAGCGAGUUAAUUUUUAAAUCGGUCCGACCCAGUCGAACGGUCCUGCAAACACUAUUGAUUGCAUGCAAAACGUGUCUUGUUUAUCAGUUGUCAGAAAGUUGUGGCUGAAAAUAAAAAAAGAAAAAGACAUCGUAUACUGAUUUAGGUUAGAGCUGAUCUAUCGAUUUCUCUCCCUUCUUCUGUCAGUGAGUGAUAUGGCUGCAUUUUGAAGAUCUUUGCAAUUGAUCUAUUCCUCCUUCAGAAAGCAAACACCUGAAUUACUUAUUCAUUACUCAAGUGUUUGACUGACACACAGUUUGAAGUACUGACUAAUUCACUUUGCCAAAAAUCUAUUGGGCACAAACUGACAUUUUCAGGAUGAGUGGUCCGUGAGUGAGUCUUUUGAAUUGAAUAGAAUGAAUGUUCGAGGCUGAAUGUUUUUCCUGCCUGUUAAUUAGUUCUUAUAACAGGAAUGUGGGAAAGGAAGUGUGUCCUCUAUCACACCGAGAGUUAAUCCUUCUGAAUAUUAGGAGGGAGGUUCCUCGACAGGUCCCUCAUGGGCUCACAUGAAUACCAAAGAUGGACUUUUUUGAAGCUAAGAAGAAUGUCUAACCUAUCUAAUUUCCUGUUUUUUGUGAUAGCGGGUUUCUCCAUUGAAAAUAAUUCGUGUUAUAGAGCCAGGCUCCCCCUUCCCUGUAUCACUCAGACACACACAAAAACACCGAUACAAAGGAAAGCAAGAAACGCCAGAGUGAUGCAAAAGUAAUCAAUUCAUAAGAGAGAGGGUCUCUGCUCACUUAUCCCAACUCUGAGGUACACAAUUGGUAAACCACCCAAUGCGUUGUUCUUUACCCUUGACUUAAAACAGACUGUGUCCUGAAGACAAACAAGGCUGGCUACUGGCACAGAAUGAAAGGUAUCGUUUAAUCUCGGCCUCAAAUACAAUCUAAGUGGGUUAAUUAAGGCAAAACACUGCUCCUUCCACCACAGGGAAGAUGCUGUGUUGAUACAGCUCAACGAGGGCACAGUCUGAGGUGCAUGGUUAUUGGGGUGAUUUGCAUAGAUCUUUCCAAAUUCAACAUUUAAUCUUAAACAUAUUAAAUUGCGCAUUAUAUGCACACAUGUCACGUCACUUGUCUGACUGUCUUUAAGGCUCAUGGGCACCACAGUAUAAAUAGGAGGCAACUGACUCGCAACUGGGAAAAUUUGGUGGUUGAACAGUGAUUGCAUGUUUUCACAUUCAUAUGAUUGCAACUGUUCACCUAGAGGUUGAGCAACACCCUGAAAGGCAACCACUUAUGCUCACAAGGGGACUGCACAGCUUACCUGGGGCAGGUACCAAUCAUGGUCUGAUGUGGUAGCUGCACAUCUUUUUGCAGUGGGGAUUCAACUCAACUAAUUACUAACCUGUUUGCAUUCUGGUUAUAUUCCUAUAUAAAAGCAGGGUUGCUGAGCAUCUAUGAGAUUUUGUUGUUGCAUCUCUAUUAUAAAGGAAUUACUAUGAAGUUCUGGCUGCACUCACAAUCUAUGUAGUUUAUAUGAAUUUCUAUGUAUGUCACUGGCAAUAC